GAUGAACGCUGGCGGCGUGCCUAAUACAUGCAAGUCGAGCGAACAGACGAGGAGCUUGCUCCUCUGACGUUAGCGGCGGACGGGUGAGUAACACGUGGAUAACCUACCUAUAAGACUGGGAUAACUUCGGGAAACCGGAGCUAAUACCGGAUAAUAUAUUGAACCGCAGGGUUCAAUAGCGAAAGACGGUUUUGCUGUCCCUUAUAGAUGGAUCCGCGCCGCAUUAGCUAGUUGGUAAGGUAACGGCUUACCAAGGCAACGAUGCGUAGCCGACCUGAGAGGGUGAUCGGCCACACUGGAACGGGGACACGGUCCAGACUCCUACGGGAGGCAGCAGUAGGGAAUCUUCCGCAAUGGGCGAAGGCUUGACGGAGCAACGCCGCGUGAGUGAUGAAGGUCUUCGGAUCGUAAAACUCUGUUAUUAGGGAAGAACAAAUGUGUAAUUAACUAUGCACGUCUUGACGGUACCUAAUCAGAAAGCCACGGCUAACUACGUG
rnacentral:rRNA from 1 species